rnacentral:rRNA from 1 species
AUCCGAGAGGUGCAAGCGUUGUUCGGAUUGACUGGGCGUAAAGCGCGCGUAGGCGGAUCCGUAAGUCGGAUGUGAAAGCCCCAGGCUUAACCUGGGAACUGCAUCCGAAACUACGGAUCUUGAAUGCUUGAGAGGUUGGUGGAAUUCCAGGUGUAGGAGUGAAAUCCGUAGAUAUCUGGAGGAACACCGGAGGCGAAGGCGGCCAACUGGCUCGAUACUGACGCUGAGGUGCGAAAGCGUGGGGAGCAAACAGGAUUAGAAACCCCGGUAGUCC